rnacentral:lncRNA from 1 species
AAAAACCUUAUCAAUGCUACAUUAAUUGAGAUAUUUUAUACAUAGACAAAACAACAAGUUAAAUGCUAAUGACAUACAAUAGAAACUCAUACGAUUUGUAAGCAUGUUGCUAUGUCAUAUAUUAACCAUAGUAGUUGAUUAGAAGGCUUAAACAUGAGUGGUAACACUAAACAAUAACAAAUUUAGAUACAAAGUACGUGACACUUAAAUACUUUUAUUUUUUAAGCUUAUGACAAGGACAGA